rnacentral:snRNA from 1 species
CUACUCACUUCAGCAGCACAUAUACUAAAAUUGGAAUGCUACAGAGAAGCCUGCGCAAGGAUGAGACCCAAAUUCGUGAAAUGUUCCAUAUUUUU